rnacentral:rRNA from 1 species
UACGGAGGGUCCGAGCGCUAUCCGGCGUCAUAGGGUUUAAAGGGUCCGUAGGCGGGACAUUAGGUCAGGGGUGAAAUGUUGCAGCUCAACUGCAGAAUGGCCUUUGAUACUGGUGUUCUUGAGUUAAGUUGCUGUGGGCGGAACAUGUGGUGUAGCGGUGAAAUGCAUAGAUAUCACAUGGAACGCCGAUUGCGAAGGCCGGUCACAAAGCGUAUACUGACGCUGAGGGACGAAAGCGUGGGGAGCGGACGGG